GCGUAUAUUAAAGUUGCUGCGUUUAAAAAGCUCGUAGUUGUAUCUCAGUUCAUGUCAAUUGGUCAAUCACUUAUUAGUGAUUACUUUUUGACUGAACAUUGAACCGAUUUGUUUUCUGAUGCUCUUUACCGAGUGUUAUUAACGAUCGGGAUCUUUACUUUGAAAAAAUUAAAAUGCUCAAAGCAGGCAUUUCGCCUAAAUAUUCUUGCAUGGAAUAAUGGAAUAAGAUCUAGGUUCUAUUCUGUUGGUCUUUUGAACCUCAGUUAAUGAUUAAAAGGGACAGACGGGGGCAUUCGUAUUGCGGCGCUAGAGGUGAAAUUCUUGGACCGUCGCAAGACGAACUAC
rnacentral:rRNA from 1 species